GUGGAAGGCCGGACGGCCGCGCGGGGGCGACCCUGCGAGGAAAGUCCGGACUCGCUGAAGCGCCGGUGCCGGGUAACUCCCGGGCAGGGCAACCUGACGGAAAGCGCCACAGAGAACAGACCGCCCCGGGCUUGUCCCGGGGUCAGGGUGAAACGGUGGGGUAAGAGCCCACCACGGCCUUGGCAACAAGGGCGGUGAUGGCAAGCCCCACCGGGAGCAAUGCCAAAUAGGGACCCCGCGCCCGCCUGAUCCCGCCCGGGUUUCCCGGGCAUCGGGAUAUCGGGGCAGGGCCGCUUCAGCCCGAGGGGUCCGGGUUGGCAGCACGAGCCGGCGGGCAACCGUCGGCCCAGAGGAAUGGUCGUCGAGCCGGGGCGCGAGCCCCGGGGAACAGAAUCCGGCUUACAGGCCUUCCACGCGC
rnacentral:RNase_P_RNA from 1 species